rnacentral:rRNA from 1 species
AUUGAACGCUGGCGGCAGGCCUAACACAUGCAAGUCGAACGAGUGGCGGACGGGUGAGUAAUGUCUGGGAAACUGCCCGAUGGAGGGGGAUAACUACUGGAAACGGUCGCUAAUACCGCAUACCAUCGGAUGUGCCCAGAUGGGAUUAGCUAGUAGGUGGGGUGAAGGCUCAACUAGGCGACGAUCCCUAGCUGGUCUGGGAGGAUGACCAGCCACACUUGAACUGAGACACGGUCCAGACUCCUACGGGAGGCAGCAGUGAGGAAUAUGGCACAAUGGGCGAAUGCCUGAUGCAGCCAUGCCGCGUGUAGGAAGAAGGCCUUCGGGUUGUAAAGUACUUUCAGCGAGGAGGCUUUACUCGCAGAAGACCCACCGGCUCACUACGUGCCAGCAGCCGCGGUAAUAC